ensembl:lncRNA
GUGUUUAUGACCUGUCCCUGGCUCCACACAGCUCUUGUCAAUUUCUUCUAUUUGUCACUCUGAACUGUCAUUUAUAGUGAUAAGAAAAGAACAGAAGGCUCAGUAGAGGCGAACACCGAGGGAUGUUAAAGACAUCUGAGGACUCCCUGUUUUGCAUUUUGAGGACUAUUUUGAUCUCUGCCAGUUCAAAGUGGCCAAGAGGGCUCAUAGUGAUCUUCAAAGGAAAGAAAUUAUGGCAUGUAACUAGAACAAUCGGUCAGAAUGGAAAUCAGAUGGACCAAGUCUCCCAAGAAUCCCAGCUAUGAACAUUGUGUCAGCAGUUGUUAUAUUCCAUCCAUUUCCUGUCCUUCUGCUCACCGCCUGCUUAUUGAUGCCAGAGGACAUCAUGUCCCCAUGCAUGCUGAUUCUCCUACAAACUCAGACAAUCUAACCUCAGCUGGCUUUUCACUAAUAUCCAAAAUAUUUGGGCCACUCACUCUCAUGCUGUUGUUCUCAAGCUCCCAUCCAUUUCUUGAUCCCCUUAGCAAAAUGAUCUUGCCCCCAAACUUCAAUGAAAAAAAUCAAGGUCAUUCAACGUGACCUACUAAAAUUCCCUUUUCCUCACUUUAAAAUACCUAUCUUCUCUCAUUUUUUAAAGAAAGAAAAAUGUUCCUUUUCUUCUCUAAGUCUAGAUUUCCACUUGCCUUUGAGAAUCUUUCCAGGAUAUUGGUCCAUCAUUUACAAUGUUCUCUUCUUCAGUUCUAUUUUCUCUUCUCCUCUUUCCUACUCCUCUUGCCUAUAAAAACACCUAAAUUUCUCUUUAAUCUUAAAUAUUUUAGCUAAAUCCUCUCAAGCUAAACCCUUCUCUACCUUUCCAUUUACUUCCAGAUUUGCCUAAUGACCCAUAUUUACCACUUCUUUCACUCUUUGCAGUCUUGAU